rnacentral:rRNA from 1 species
AUUGAACGCUGGCGGCAUGCCUUACACAUGCAAGUCGAACGGCAGCACGGGCUUCGGUCUGGUGGCGAGUGGCGAACGGGUGAGUAAUGUAUCGGAACGUACCUUUCAGUGGGGGAUAACGUAGCGAAAGUUACGCUAAUACCGCAUAUUCUGUGAGCAGGAAAGCAGGGGAUCGCAAGACCUUGCGCUGAUUGAGCGGCCGAUAUCAGAUUAGCUAGUUGGUGAGGUAAAGGCUCACUAAGGCGACGAUCUGUAGCGGGGCUGAGAGGAUGAUCCGCCACACUGGAACUGAGACACGGUCCAGACUCCUACGGGAGGCAGCAGUGGGGAACUUUGGACAAUGGGGGCAACCCUGAUCCAGCCAUGCCGCGUGAGUGAAGAAGGCCUUCGGGUUGUAAAGCUCUUUCGGCCGGGAAGAAAUCGCAUAGGUUAAUACCCUGUGUGGAUGACGGUACCGGAAUAAGAAGCACCGGCUAACUACGUGCCAGCCGCCGCAGUAA